UACGGAGGGAGCUAGCGUUGUUCGGAAAUACUGGGCGUAAAGCGCACGUAGGCGGCGCAGCAAGUCAGGGGUGAAAUCCCGGGGCUCAACCUCGGAACUGCCUCUGAAACUGCAGUGCUAGAAUCUUGGAGAGGCGAGUGGAAUUCCGAGUGUAGAGGUGAAAUUCGUAGAUAUUCGGAAGAACACCAGUGGCGAAGGCGACUCGCUGGACAAGUAUUGACGCUGAGGUGCGAAAGCGUGGGGAGCAAACAGG
rnacentral:rRNA from 1 species